CUUUUUUCCGGGUCUCCUUCUUUCCCUUUCAUUCUCAAGUGCUAGGUUGCUCAAAUUUUCAUCUCUAUGGCUACUUCCUCUCUAGCUCUCUUCCAUUUUUUUGCUUCUCAAAUACCAUGCAUUUCUUUCAAUUUCCUUUAUUUCCUCGCAUUUUAGCACCCAAUGCUGAAUGAUUCUGUUGUAUUUGCCAUUUUGGAGGUUUGUUUUAGUGGUUCAACUCUUGCAUAGUGUUUGCCAUCUAAAAUACUAUUUUUUGGAGCAAUUGUGUUCUUAGAUCUUGACAAUGAUAUCCAUCUAGCAGGGUCUACAAAGAGAUUGUAGAUUUAAGAUAAAUUAGCUAAGGUUACUGCUAGGCACUAUAUGCCUGAGACACACCGCCUGCUAUUUGAUGUUAACUAUUCUACUCAUUCUGGGGGAUAUUAUUCGGUCAACCCAAAGCAAGGUUACUGCUAGGCACUAUAUGCCUGAGACACACCGUCUGCUAUUUGAUGUUAACUAUUCUACUCAUUCUGGGGGAUAUUACUCGGUCAACCCAAAGCAAGGUUAACAAAGAGGAAUGCGAAGGAGAAAGGAUUUUCAGAUUUGCUGUAUCUUGAUUCAGUCAUUAAGUGAUAUAUGGAAAAGGUCUCUCUUUAGUAUAUUCCUUACCAAGGGAAGUGUACUUUCAACUCUUACAGCCAGAAGAGGAACUAUCGCUAGCACUCCAUGCGUAACAGUCUUUGAAGCCUUAUCGGUAAUUAUCUUUUUUUUAGAGAUUUCCUUUUAAAGUGGAAGAAGAUUCAUGCUUCAAAUGCGCGCUUUUUCAUUGAACAUAUAAGAUAUUCGUGAGGUUUAAGCACACAGAGAUAGUGAUUGUAAUUUUUGUUGACAAUUUCAGUUUCUAUCAGUUUGUUGUAGCAGCUAUUGUGAAUUUAUAAUGCUGCAAUAAAUAGAAGAAAUAUAUGAGAACAUAUUAUUUAACGUUUCUACAGGUACUUUAUUCUGUUAGACAUGCAUAUCUUAGGUACUUUUGAGGAUUAAUUUAAUUUUGCGACA